UUUGCAUGUUUCAUUUUGUAUGAUGUAGGAUUUUGAUAAUAGUUACAAAAAUGGUCCAAGUACAAGUAGGAAAAAUGAAUUGCAUAAGUAUUUGGAUGAGGAAAGACUAGAUAGAAAGCAAGACAUAGAUGUUCUUUCUUGGUGGCAAAUGGAGCAUUUUCAUUAUCCGAUACUUUCAAAUCUAGCUCGUGAUGUGUUAACAAUUCCUAUUUCUACGGUUGCAUCGGAAUCCGCUUUUAGUAUUGGUGGUAAAGUACUAGAUCAAUACCGUACUUUAUUAUUGCCAGAAAUUGUUCAAGCUUUGUUGUGUACUCGAGAUUGGCUUUUUGGCAAAGGAGCUAUGGAGGAAGAGAGUGCUAGUGUGGAAAACCUUACUGAAGAUAUCUUCAAA